ACUCAAAUGAAUAGACGGGGACCCGCACAACCAGUGGAGCAUGUGGUUUAAUUCGAGACAAAGCGAAAGACCUCACCAGGGUUUGAAAUGUUAGUGCAAAUCCUAUGAAAGUAGGACUUCUUCGAGAGUCUAACACAGCUGCUGCAUGGCUGUCGUCAGCUCGUGCCGUGAGGUAUUGGCUUAAGUGCCAAAACGAGCGCAACCCCCAUCCAAUGUUAAAUAUUCAUUGGAGACCGCAGUCGAUUAUUCGACUGAGGAAGGAGGGGACGACGUCAAGUCAGCACGGCGUUUAUAUCCUGGGCAACACACAUCCUACAAUGGCGAAUAACAACGAGUUGCCAGCCCGCGAGGGUAAGCUAAUCUCUGAAAUUUCGCCUCAGUUGGAAUUGGAGUCUGCAACCCGACUCCAUGAACUAGGAAUUGGUAGUAAUCGCGGAUCAGCAGGUCGCGGUGAAUACGUUCUCGGGUCUUGUACACACCGCCCGU
rnacentral:rRNA from 1 species